rnacentral:lncRNA from 1 species
GGGGCCCAGGGUGGAGAGCACGAGGGCCUGGCCCAGGCACGGCCGGCGCCUCCGCCCUCGAGGAGGGCGUCACCUCAGCUCCCCCCGGCGGCGGAGCCGGCGGGCUCAGGCGGGCGCGGCUGAGGGGAGCGGACCGCGGGGGGCGGGAGAUGACUGCGCCCAAGGCCUUUGCGGGCCUCAGCCGGCCCCAGAGGAAGGGGAACCCGUCGAGCGGUUUGGGAGGUUCAGGAAGCCAUUCGUUCUUUCGCGUCUGCGGUGCCCGGAGUGUGGUACUUCUCCUAGUUGCAGUCAGGCUUCAUACGCUAUUGUCCUGCCCGUUAGAGCAGCCAGCGGGUACAGAAUGGAUUUUGGAAGAGGGAGUCACCACUGGACCUCCAAGGAAGCCACGUGCAGACAUCUACAACCUUCGAUCUCCUGACGAGUUUAUUGUUGGCCAAAACCAGGCUUUGAUUGAACCAGGAUGAAUGCGGGUGUUGGAAGUAGAAUAUAUAUAUACAUAUAAAAUUGGUUGGGAGCCACGUGUACCAGUGUGUGUUGAUCUUGGCUUGAUUCAGUCUGCCUUGUAACAGAAACUGGCGAUGGAAUAUGAGAGGAGCCCUCUGGAAAGAAAAGGACAGACCCUGUGCUUUCAUGAAAGUGAAGAUCUGGCUGAACCAGUUCCACAAGGUUACUGUAUACAUAGCCUGAGUUUAAAAGGCUGUGCCCACUUCAAGAAUGUCAUUGUUAGACUUUGAAAUUUCUAACUGCCUACCUGCAUAAAGAAAAUAAAAUCUUUUAAAUCAAAAUGCUGUUUUGUUUGGCCAUUGGAGAUAACCAUUGAACAGGGAUAACAAGUAGUAGUUAGGUAUUUGCAGUUUCAUUUGGUUUUAGUUUUUUGAGGGGAGAAUCACCCUAGUGGGCAGUUGGUUUCUGUGGGCAAAGCCUGCUUUCCACAGGUAUUGUGCCUCGUGAUUGGCUUCUGCAUUGGAAACCUAAGAAUAAGCAAGCACACUUGGGCCAGAAUUCAAAGCAGAGGGUCAAUACAGAGGUAUCUCACUUGUAUGCUUACACCUGCACAAGAUCGUGUAUGUUAAAUCGUGGGUAUUAGGCCUUAAUGGUUGCAUGAGAUGAGUAAGGAUGAUGUGGGCUAUGGUAUUUGUUUAUAAACUUCAUAGGAAAUUGCAAAAAUAGGCUGCAUCAUUUAUCAAUAUGUGAUGAUUUUUUAUUUAAAAUACACAGUGAAUAAUUUUUUAAGUAUCUUAAAAUCUCACCUCAAAGAUGGGACCUCUAGAUUUCUUUUUUUUUUCUGAGGCAGAGUCUCGCUGUGUCACCCAGGCUGGAGUGCAGUGGCAUGAUCUCAGCUCACUGCGAGCUCUGCUUCCUGGGUUCACAUUCUCCUGCCUCAGCCUCCCAAGUAGCUGGGACUACAGGUGCCCGUCACCACGCCCGGCUAAUUUUUUGUAUUUUUAGUAGAGACGGGUUUUCGCUGUUUUAGCCAGGAUGGUCUUGAUCUCCUGACCUUGUGAUCUGCCCACUUCGGCCUCCCAAAGUGCUGGGAUAACAGGCAUGAGCCACUGCGCCCAGCCUGGGACCUCUAGAUUUCUAAAAUGACUCCUGGUAUUGACUCAGAAUCCCCUCCCCUUGACUAGGCUGGACCUAGUGUAACUUCUGAGACUUGCUAGCUCUUUUUCUCAUUCUCCUUGGCUUGCUCACUUUUUUUUUUUUUUUUUGAGAUCUCAGCUCACUGCAACCUCCGUCCCCUGGGUUUAAGCAAAUUCUCCUGCCUCACCCUCCCGAGUAGCUUGGAUUACCACGCCUGGCUAAUUUUUGUAUAUUUAGUAGAGGGGGUUCACCAUGUUGGCCAGGCUGGUCUUGAACUCCUGACCUCAAGUGAUCUGCCUGCGUCAAGCCUCCCAAAGUGUUGGAAUUACAGGCGUGAGCCACCACGCCUGGCCUAGCUUGCUCACUUUUAAUUAAGCUGCCAUGUUGGGAGAGGCCAGCGUAGCAAUCAACUGAGGUUGAACCAUUAGUGUGGGAGGAGUUACCCAACAACCAUGUGAGUUUGUAAGCACGUCUUUCUGUAGCGGAGGCUUGUGAGAAACCCUGAGAGCGGACCCACCCAGAUUGUGCUUGGAUUUCUGACCUAUGGGAAAUGUAUUUCAAGCCACUAGGUUUUGAGAUAACUUGCUACAAAGCAGUAAAUUCACAACUCUAUAAUGCCCACUCUAAAGGUCCUGACAUGGGCAUCUCCAUUACCUAAGUCAACUGAUGCUACUUCAAUUUCUCCACGUAGCAUUUGAAGCGUUUAUGUCUGGCCCCAGCCUACAUUUUCAGACUUAUUUGUGCAUUUGACUUAACAUGUCCAAAACUAAAUGCCUGAUGCUUCACUCACCUAACCCCAUUCCCUGCAAGUCUGUGCUUCCUGCGAUCUUCCCUUCCCAGGUAUUGGCAACACCAGAAGUCCAGUUGGUCAGGAGCUGUGGAAUCAACCUCAUGUACCAUGUGAAUCCCUUGGCAAAUGCUAUUGGUUCUACCUUCAAAAUACAUCUGAAACCCACCCCCUCUUAGCGUCUUCAUUGCUACCACCUUGGUACAAACCAUCAAACAAGCUUGGAAUACUGGUCUCUACUUCAGCCUUUGCUCCCUACGAUCAAUUGAGAUGCAACCAGAGCGAUCUGUGAAAACCUGAAUUAGAUUUUGCCUGCCUGAGCUCCUCUAGUAGUGGCCACAAUUGCCAGAGAAGAUAGAGCAGGUCUCUCCCAGGACUUGCAGCUCCAGCCUGUGUCUGCAAGGGGUGUUGUAGCGACUGAUUUCUCCAGCCCAUGGCAAGAGGCCUUCAUCUUGUGCCUGGAAAGAGGGAAGUACAAGUCCGUCUGGCAGAGAUGGUGCAGAUGGGCAAGUUUUUCAGACACUGCAGCCAGCACUUCUGGGACCGCAGCAGUGGAGCCUGCAGAGGGCCGGUUCUCCAGGCAUGGGCUACUGACAUUGUCACUUCCAGACUCCUUAUGCAAUAAACAACCCCUAAACAGAUUUAUUCACAAUUUCUCCAUCCUAACAAGUCAGUGAUCAGUUUUCACUUUUCCACAUUCCCUUCUGUCCCCAUUAUGUUCCCAUAGUGGGGCAGCUUCUACCUGCAUGGUUGGAGCUUCCCAUUUUUAAAGAGGCAAGAAAUCCUUUAAAGUUCUUUGAAAUGUUUGUAGCCUGUUCCAAUUUUAUAAACUGUGAAGACUGAGCAACACACAAUGCAUGGGCCUCAUAUGGCCUGGAGGCCACCAGUUGGAGACCUCUGUAGCUUGAGCUGUGUCCCUUUCAGCACUGUUCUUGUCAUUCCUGAGCUGGGAUGCCCCCUGAAACAUAGGAUGCUCAGUUAAAUUUGAAUUUCUUUUUUUUUUUCCUUGAAAUGGAGUGUCGCUCUGUCGCCAGGCUGGAGUGCUGUGGCGUGAUCUCAGCUCACUGCAACCUCCACCUCCCUAGUUCAAGUGAUUCUCCUGCCUCAGCCUCCCGAGUAGCUGGGAUUACAGGCAUGCACCACCACACCCAGCUAAUUUUUGUAUUUUUAGUAGAGACAGAGUUUCACCAUGUUGGCCAGGAUGGUCUUGAUCUCCUAACCUCAUGAUCUGCCCGCCUCGGCCUCCCAAAGUGCUGUGAUUACAGGUGUGAACCACUGCGCCCGGCCGAUGGCAAUCAUUCUUUAAGAUGCAGCCUCCGUGGACCUCGUACCUUCUCAGUAAUUUCCAUAUUCUUUGCUGACUUGGGUUUUUCCUCCAAAAUUGUCUGGGAUAAAUUGAGGUUUGUGGAGUUUCCUGAUGGCUAGUUUCCAAACUGGCUUCAAAGCCUGGGCUUGUGGAAUUGGCUGGGUCUGCGGCCAGCCUAACCCAUCCUUCGGUCACAGUCUCCCAUGGUCCUGAUAUUAAUUCAUCACAGGUCUGUUUAGAAGGUGGCAGAAACAGACGGUCUUGGGCUUAUUUAUAUCUGUGGCUUUUUUUAAAAGACAGAAAAGGAGAAAUCUGGAUCCUUUCCUUGUCAGCCUCCUUUAACUAAAUGGUCUUUUGCUAAAAUAGACUGGCCCCACUGUGUGGGUAGGAAGGGUUGAGAUGGGAGUGGGCCAAGUGAGUGAGAACUUUUUUUUUUUGCCUUGAUGUUAAAAUGGCAGCAUGUGCAGUCUUCUGCCUCUGCCCAGGUUGACCUGAUGUUUUUACAGGGAGAGAGGCUGCUUGUUGAGUGUGGUGGUAUUUAUCAUAGUGUAUGUUAGGCUGCCUCAAACAUCCCUCGCUGUCGUACCUUUCAGCCAACUCUAAUGUACCUCUCUCAGCCUGAUUUCUCCCCACUUGAGUUAUAAUAACAACAACUGCCUUUUAAAAAAUUUCCUACUGGGCUUCAUGCUAGGUACUUUCCACGUUUUAUUUUUAUUUAUUUAUUUUUUGAGACAGAGUCUCACUCUGUCACCCACGCUGGAGUGCAGUGGUGUGAUCGCAGCUCACUGCAGCCUCAAACUCCUGGGCUCAAGCGAGCCUCCUGCCUCAGCCUCCCGAAUAGCUGGGACUACAGGUUUGUGCUACUGUGCCCGGCUAAUUUUUCUAUUUUUUUGUAGAGACAGUGUCUCCCUUUGUUUCCCAGGCUGAUCUCUCCUGGGCUCAAGCGAUCCUCCUGCCUCAACCUCCCAAAGUAUUGGGAUUACUGGUGUGAGCCACCAUUAUAUGUUUUAAAUAAUUUAUUCCUCACCUCAAGUGAGUGAGGUAACAUCCCAGUUUUACAGACAAGGAAACAGAUUGGGCAGGGGAAGUGACUUGCCUCAGAUGCACAAUAAAUGGCUCUGCCAGUGUCUUCCUUAGCGCCUCCGAUCCCCUUCUCACCCUUGUCCUCUCUGCUCCUCUCUGCUCAAUGCUCCUGGGAGCGUGAACUGCAUUAAUGGCUCCUUGUCUGGUGGCCUCAAGGUUCCCCAGGAGGCAGGGAGGGUGAGGCUGAGAUGUGUGCUCCCCUAAGGCACAUGCCUCAGCCUGGCUGCCUCUGUCUAAGGCCACAGCCCCUCAAGUGCUUCCCCACCUGACUUUCUGGGCUCUGGUAACCGCUUCCUGCCUGCCCCAUCAGGUGUAGGGGGUGCUUCAUGGGUCAACAUUAGCUUAUGUGGUUUCCUUAUAUCCUGGGCGCACCUUUGUUAGUCUCAAAUUACAUUCUGCUUGAACUAUUCUCUAUCCAGUGGGUUGUGACUAUCUAGAGGCAGAGUUGGGAUUUGAACCCCAAGACUUCAAAAUAAGCUCUGUGCAAAUGGCCUCCCAGAGCUGCCUGCUGGUUUCUUCUGCGAGGCCUGGCUUCUCCAUUUUGGCUUGGACCAUGGCCUGCUGUCAUUUCCACAACAGUUGCAGGAAGUUGCCAAAUGCGUUUUCUGUGACUGCCAGGCUGGUGACCCUGUUAAAAACAAAGCAACAACAAAAAAAGCAAUUUCUUCAAUUAAAAUUACAAAACAGAAAAAAAAAAAGAUGUCACACUUGGGGGAAGCUGGUUGAAGUGUACUUGAUAUUCUACAUACUAUUUUCGCAGUUCUCUGUGAAUCAAUAGUUAUUUCCAAAUAAAAUGUUAAAAAAAACUUUAUUACUAAAUCAGAAAAAAACAACAACAAACAACAACAAAAACCAAAGCAGAAUAUGUGGUGCACUGUUGAGGGAAGUACAGAAGGAU